ACAUGCUGGUCUAUUGCGGAAAACCUGCAUCAAUCAUUAUUACAAUCCUCUUGUUGUGAUUAGCUGAAUUUAUGAUGUCCUUUUGCAACAACGCAUUGUAACCAAUAGUGAGCGAGCGUUAACCAAUCAGAGAUGAUUGAGAUCGCAACAUUAUAG